rnacentral:tRNA from 1 species
GCCUUGGUGGUGGAAUAGGUAGACACAAGGGACUUAAAAUCCCUCGGCGCUUGCGCUGUGCCGGUUCAAGUCCGGCCCGAGGCA